rnacentral:rRNA from 1 species
UACGAAGGAUGCAAGCGUUAAUCGGAAUUACUGGGCGUAAAGGGUGCGUAGGCGGUUGUUUAAGUCUGUCGUGAAAUCCCCGGGCUCAACCUGGGAAUGGCGAUGGAUACUGGGCAGCUAGAGUGUGUCAGAGGAUGGUGGAAUUCCCGGCGUAGCGGUGAAAUGCGUAGAGAUCGGGAGGAACAUCAGUGGCGAAGGCGGCCAUCUGGGACAACACUGACGCUGAAGCACGAAAGCGUGGGGAGCAAACAGG